UACGGAGGGUGCGAGCGUUGUUCGGAAUCACUGGGCGUAAAGCGCUUGUAGGCGGCACGUCAAGUCGCGUGUGAAAUCCCCAGGCUUAACCUGGGAAGUGCGCGCGAAACUGACGAGCUUGAGUGCCGGAGAGGGUCGCGGAAUUCCCGGUGUAGAGGUGAAAUUCGUAGAUAUCGGGAGGAACACCAGUGGCGAAGGCGGCGACCUGGACGGACACUGACGCUGAGACGCGAAAGCGUGGGGAGCAAACAGG
rnacentral:rRNA from 1 species